GCUCCAGUGACCUAGUGGUUAGAGCGUCCGCCUCUGAUGCUAGAGGUAGCGGGUUCGAACCCCGGCCGUGUAAUA